rnacentral:lncRNA from 1 species
GGAUCGGGAUCUGGGGCCGAGCCGCUCAGGACCUGCCGCGAGCCCCGGGGUGGGGGAGGCGGCGGGGGAGGAGCGCGAGGGGACGGGACAGCGGGAUCCCUCCCAGGAGCCAAGCCGCCAAGCGCCUCGUUCCUCUGCUGCUCCCCGCCCUCUUCGGCGGCCGCGAGAGCGGACCCACCCUCCGGCUUGACCUGCGACCUCCCUGCGCCCGCCGCUCAGAAACGCCCCGCGCUUCGCUGCCAACCCUGCGGCUCCCUCUGUGACCCGGGACCAGCCCCGCGCCCGCUGCCCGUAGGCGGCUCGCGGCUUCCCCUUUCCUCGGCGUUCACCGAGCGCCGCGAAGUGACCCACCCUCCCCCGAGGAGAGGGAAGGA